GAGGGUAUAGUUCAGUGGUAGAGUGAGUGCUUAGCAUGCACAAGGUACUGGGUUCCAUCCCCAUUGCCUCCA
rnacentral:tRNA from 1 species